rnacentral:rRNA from 1 species
UACGAAGGGGGCUGGCGUUGCUCGGAAUGACUGGGCGUAAAGGGCGCGUAGGCGGAUGGCACAGUCAGAUGUGAAAUUCCCGGGCUUAACCUGGGGGCUGCAUUUGAUACGUGUGAUCUAGAGUGAGGAAGAGGGUCGUGGAAUUCCCAGUGUAGAGGUGAAAUUCGUAGAUAUUGGGAAGAACACCGGUGGCGAAGGCGGCGACCUGGUCCUUGACUGACGCUGAGGCGCGAAAGCGUGGGGAGCAAACAGG